GAGCCGGGAUUCAGCUCUUGUCACAAAAGCCCCUGGGAACUCUGAAGGGAGAGGAAUGAGAUUUUCCCCGAGAUCCUUCGGGCCCAGACAUUCCCUCACACUGCACGUGGAGCCGUCCCCCACUGGGAAGGCGCCCUGCCUGAGAAGGCAAGCAGCUCCCGGAGAGGCCUAGCGGAGGAGGAAGACAGGCCUGGUGGCAGAGACAGAGCAGAGGAGCAAAGGUCUGGAGGCGGGGUGGUGCCUGGCGGGCUGGACCAACAGCGAUGACGACCCCCUCCCGCGGUGACACGGUGCCAAGUGACACACAGCCGGUGACAUGGCUGCUCUGACCGCGAUCUCUAGACCUGAGGGUGUCUUGGAAAAGCAGAACCUCGGGCCCCACCCCAGAUCUAUGGAGUCAGAGUUUGCUUUUCCACAAGAGACCCACGUGUUCCGGAUGAUCAUGGACGAUGCACGGGCCUCAGUCUAGAAACAUCCAGAGAGACGUCAUUCUCCUCCUGGAGGGAAGGCUGGACUGAAGGGCUGCUCUUCUCUGGUUCAGACACGUCUGGCCGCUUUCUUGGUGGUGGAAGAACAAAGAAGGAAAGAGAAGGCCACCCCCGGGGCACGCGUGCAUACGUGUGCGCGCACACGCUGCUCGUGUCACUGGCCGUUCCGGUGCUCGCCAAGGGCCUCUGCUUCCUCACGGAGGCAUUUCCUACCGAGAUGGGUCACAGAGCACGCAGUCCUCUCACUGGGCUCUGCGGGUCCUGGGGUCAUCCCAGCCUGGAUGUCAGAGGUGACCUUGUGACACUUGAGCCACAGUCGGCAGGAAAAGCGACAGCACGACAGCCUUAUCGUUGUCCAUGGCGGGGAGAAGAACCCGUCGGGGCCUGUCCUCUCGGACGGGAGCGGCGCCCCGCGGCUGUCAGGGCCUCGUUCUGAUGCUUGGCUCACCCAGCGGGCCCCUCGUCCUAAACCACCUUUUUUACCAGCUCAGAGUCAGGCCUUUUCUGGCAGCCAUCUGUAUAAACAAAGUAUUUUGGGGUCUAGAAGAGUGGUUUCUUCUCUGGGCAAGACUUUUUGACUUAAUUGUCCCCUCACCUGUGACUCCUAUGCUUAAAAAGAUCAAGACUGAGCAAAAGAAACAUAUUAUUUUAGUCCACAUCUCUUAAGAAAACAAAAACACAUUCAAAUUCCACUCCUCGGGCUGUGUUGGCCUCGAGCCUGGCCCUAAAAGGCUGAGGGGACAGACGAUUAUUCCCGGCCUCCAACGACGCUCUCCUGACCUCUGGCCUCUAGCCCCCAGCCUCGACCUUUCCCAUUUCUCUGCAUUCUGUCUCCCCACAUCGCCUGGACCCAUCUGUGAGCCUCCACCUGUCCACACAGGAAGAAAAACGGAGUUUGCAGUAUAAAUAUUUAGCUUGAAGAUCUUGGAGAGUGUUUUGGGGGAGGCUCCUGGGUUCCAGCACAGCUGACCCCACAACUUCUCCAACGGCCCCGCCUGCCCUCCACACACGCCUCCCUCAGCCCCACUAACCAAGGCAACUGGCAGCACCUGGGGGGAAUGCUGGGGGAGGGGUGCUUGAGCCUGGCGCCCCCACAAUGUCCAUCACCCUUCCCAAAGCCACCCUGAUGAACAUACAAUCUAGGUCAAGGCAGCUCAACCUCUGGCCUCCAGCUCCUCGUACAGAUAAUCCGGGCCCGCCAUGGAAAGAUCUGACUUCGUUCACAGCAGAAGCUGACAUCCGGGGCUUUGAGCCAGACCUGAGUUUGAAAUCUGCCACUUCCUAGCAGGGUGACGGUCUGCUGAGAAAUCUCCGCUUCGGCCUUCAGGUUGAAUUCCGAUUUCUCCAUGUGUCAUGACUAAUGGCAGAAACCAAGAAGUUCAGUGGAAAUACACAGUUCCUCUUAAAAUCUGUGCUCAGGACUGGCCCACCCGCCAUCACUUCUUCACCUCCCACUGGUUAGAGCACAUCACAUGCCUGAGUCCAGCAUCACUGGUGAGGGAGAGAUCCUCUGCCCACCGUGGAAGGCCCUGCGGGCAUGUGGUAAAGGCUGUGGAUGUCUAAUUCCAAUACAGGGAAAGGAUGGACUUCCUUACUUUGGCAGCCAUGACGUGCACCUGUCAGGUCUCCAGGGUGGGGCCUAACGGACAGAUAGACCAUGGACUCAUCCUAACAGUCGAGCCAAGACCACACUUCUGCUUCUCCUGGUUCAACAGUGAGCAAGGCAGGGAGGAAGGCCCAGUCCGAGGAGACCCAGGGCUCCUCCGGCAGCACAAGGACUCUUUGUCGCAUUAUGGAAUUUUCCCAGUAUGGCCCUGCAGUCAACAACCGCCCAAUCUUCCUUCCCCCUCCCUCCCGGCCUCCUCUGGCUCCCUCCUCACUACUCCUCCCGCCAACCCUGGCAUUCUCCCCCCAAAAAAUCUCCUGGAUAGUUCAUCCCUUCUUGACUAUCUCAGAGGACCUGGACUAACACCACUUCCCAUAAUAGAUUUGGGUAAACUAAGAGAAAGAGAGAGGUCUUCCAGGCAGGUAAACAAUUUGAAUAAAGGUGUGGAGGUAGCAAAGCCCAGGGUGUGCUCACAUCACAUGGGGAAAUUAGCCUGUCCUAAGAGGACAUCAAAUCCCCAUGCUAUAGCCUAGCAAAAGAAGUGCUGUGUGACCUUGGGUAAUUCACUGAGUCUCUCUGGGCCUUGGUUUCACCAUUUGCAAACUGGGAACACAAAUAGUACCCACUUUACAGGCUCUUGAGGGGGAUUAGACAAGUUAAUACAAAAAAAAAUUUUUUUUAAGAUUUUAUUCAUCCAUUUGACAGAGA